GGGGAUGUACCUCAGUGGUAGAGUGCAUGCUUUGCAUGUAUGAGGUCCUGAGUUCAGUCCUGGCAUCACCA
rnacentral:tRNA from 1 species